rnacentral:lncRNA from 1 species
AAUCAUCAAACUCAAAAGAUAAUUGUUCUAACAACUAUUUAAAAAUUCAAAAUAUUACAGUACCAUCAAAUUCAUAAGACCAUUAUACCGACAAUUAAAACUUCAAAAUAAAAAAACAUUUGGUAUCAUCAAAACACAAUCAAUAAAACAAAGUGUCUAAAAUUUCAAAGAACAUUGUACAAACAAUUACAACUUCAAAAACAAACACCAUAAUGACAUAAAAUCCAAAAGAAAAAC